AUUGAUCUGGAAGUCCCAAAUAGGACGAAACGCGCGUCCUGAAU
rfam:Schistosoma haematobium scaffold560_10, whole genome shotgun sequence.